rnacentral:rRNA from 1 species
ACGUAGGGUGCAAGCGUUGUCCGGAAUUAUUGGGCGUAAAGAGCUCGUAGGUGGUCUAUCACGUCGGAUGUGAAACCCUGAGGCUCAACCUCAGGCCUGCAUUCGAUACGGGCAGACUAGAGUGUGGUAGGGGAGACUGGAAUUCCUGGUGUAGCGGUGAAAUGCGCAGAUAUCAGGAGGAACACCGGUGGCGAAGGCGGGUCUCUGGGCCAUUACUGACACUGAGGAGCGAAAGCGUGGGGAGCAAACAGGAUUAGAUACCCUGGUAGUCCACGCCGUAAACGGUGGGCACUAGGUGUGGGACCCUUCCACGGGUUCUGCGCCGCAGCUAACGCAUUAAGUGCCCCGCCUGGGGAGUACGGCCGCAAGGCUA